rnacentral:lncRNA from 1 species
UCUCUUACUACAUGAAUCAACAUUUUGACUUUUGACUUAUCUUGGCUGGGAUGUGAGGGCCAAAGAAAAAUUGAAAGAAACGAAAAGAGAUUAGAUUCUAACCAGUAUAUGGUGAUUGACAUGUUGAACCACUCUUUAACGCCUACUAUCAUAGAAAUUGGUUUCAACAUUUAAUAAGGAACUCAUGUAACUUGAUUGAUAUAUUGUUAACUUAAUGACAGCUCAGAAUAUUUAAGCCAGUACGAUAAGGCCUCAUUUUUAACCUAUAAAUGUACCUUAUCCACGAGCUAUCCUAUAAACAAGUGUAACUUAUGAGUCCUUGUAGAUUGAUUUACUGGAGUGGAGGCCAGCAAUGUGAGAAGUCUUGAUUGUUUUAUUCUGUAUCCUGAAGUUCCUGACAUUGGAGGAUCAAAUGCAUCCUGUGUACGCUUUUCAAUGACCCACCUCUAGGUGCAAUUUUAUACACAUAAAAGAGUCAGGGAUAUGUGAAGCCCCGAAACUCAUGUCCGAUUUCUUUUGCUGUCUUUCGGUUGCAGAGUUCAUGUGCUUACAUGAAGGAUGUCAAAAGGAUUGAGCAUGCAGCAGAUACCCAUCACCUGAACAAAAGCAUGUUUUUCUCUAAGAAACAACAGUUUACAGAAGGGCACUUAAAAAUGAACCGAGAAACAUUACCUACUAAAAAUCGUUUCUAGAGGACUACACAUCACUAACACUCGAGCAAGG